CCUACGGGGGGCAGCAGUAGGGAAUCUUUCACAAUGGGCGAAAGCCUGAUGGAGCAACGCCGCGUGCAGGAUGAAGGCCUUCGGGUUGUAAACUGCUUUUAUAAGCGAGAAAUAUGAUGGUAACUUAUGAAUAAGGAUCGGCUAACUACGUGCCAGCAGCCGCGGUCAUACGUAGGAUCCGAGCAUUAUCCGGAGUGACUGGGUGUAAAGAGUUGCGUAGGUGGCAUAGUAAGUAGCUAGUGAAAUCUGGUGGCUCAACCAUUCAGACUAUUAGCUAAACUGCUAAGCUCGAGACCGUUAGGGGUAACUGGAAUUUGUAGUGUAGGAGUGAAAUGCGUAGAUAUUAGAAGGAACACCGAUAGCGUAGGCAGGUUACUGGGACGGUUCUGACACUAAGGCACGAAAGCGUAGGGAGCAAACGGGAUUAGAUACCCCGGUAGUC
rnacentral:rRNA from 1 species